GUCUAUGGCUAUGCCACUCUGAACAAGCCUGAUGUCUAAUCUUGGAAGUUAAGUGGAGUUGGGCCUGGUUAGUACUUGGAUGGGAGACCACCUAGGAAGACUAGGUGCUGUAAGCA
rnacentral:rRNA from 1 species